UCGGUCCAGUAGGUGGCGGUAAUGCCCCACGGCACCGAGGGGUAAACUGCUAAUAAACAGAAAGAAGAAGAAGAAGACACCCUAGGCUAGCAGCUAGCUAAGGAUAUAAAGCAUUUGGAUUCUUCUGUUUAGUAAAGAGACCGUGUCUACGACCGUGCGACUUGACCUGCAAAAAGAAGCUGAGCGGACCUGACGUUCCCACCAGGAAAGUGUUCCUGUCCAGCGAGCACCGUUCCAUUUCAUUUAAUGCGUGCUUUGCUGGGAGCCAGUUCCUGAUUGGCCUACGGGCAACCAUGUCUCACAACCAAAGGGACCUGUUUUCGACCCAAAGAAAGCAUACGGAGAGAGACCCUCGUAGCUUGUUCUCUGGCGAAAGACUUGGCCCUAACUCCUCUACGGGUCUUUCGCAGGAUUCUGACAGCGAUGCGAUUUCCAUGCUAGUGCACAGUUGCCGGCAAAGAGUCAACGCCAGUCAAGAAAUUUAUGCUCCAAAGCAAAACGAUCGCGGGCAAGACUUGUUCUCCUUGGGUGAAGCAGAAAGAUAUUCCCAAAACAUCAACAGACACUAUGACAUAGGCGAUGGCUCCGCCAGUUGCUUGUCCAACUACGGCCGAACGUCCGCCGCCACCUCUUCUAACUAUUAUCAACCAUCAAUAUCAGCAGAACGUUCAAUGCUUGCUGUGCCUAAUGAGGAGGAUCGCAACCUCGGCUCCAUUCCAUUCCUACCUGACGGCGAGCCUGACAUGGACCGAUCAUCUAAGCCCCCUCAACCCAAUUACACGGCUGAAACAGCCGCUGACAUUCUUCUGAAAUUUGGGCUUGAACACGAAGACUUAGAACAUCUUUUCUCCUACCCUGAAGACCAGGUCACCCCUGAGAACUUACCCUUCAUCUUGCAGAAAAUUCGCAUUAAGAAGGACAAAAAGGCCUCUGAGGCCAAUUGCUCCAAACCCUUGCGUGAACCGGCCCCUGACCGAGACCAUGCAGGGGGGGACAAUUGGAGAGGUUCUGGACUGGCACAAAAGGUCACCUCAUCUCCUCCUCACCGGUCAAUUAAAGUCAUCGACUAUAGACAUAUGGACAAAUACGCUGGCAGGAUAGAAGAGAAUGUUCAGGGCAGAACAAAAAGAGCUGAGGAUGACAGUUUACUGACAAUUCAUGAUUUGGACAGCAAUUGCGGUCAAGACCUGGCGCAGCAGGUGGUAAAAGGAGCAAAUUCUUACUCUGAUCAACACACGAAUCUCUGCUCUUUCUUCAGCUCUAUCCUGACAUCUGCCUCUGCCAAAAGUUCCGAUCCAGUCAGACCAGCCCAGUCAACCAAAUCGCAUGCCCUGAAAUCCAGUGAUUUUGAACAAGCACAGACUGUGCUUAAACCCAUGUUAAAGCCACAACCACAAGCUCCGCAACCAAUUAUACGUCGCGUUCCUCCCAGCAAACCUGAUCUUAUGGUGCUUGGUGGAGAUGAUACCAGCAGAAGCUGUGACCCGGUUAAGAAUUUAGCUCCAGCUAGUGACAACAAGUCUAAAAAGCAGCAGAUGGCUUCACAAUGGCAGAAUAUCAAGAAAGAGCAGUCACAAAAGGAGGUGUACACACAGAAACCACCGAAAGUCAAGAAGACGCAGCAGCCACCGAGCAACCCUCAGCAGCCGAGCCAGAAGCACCCCCCGGUGCCUAUCCCGGCCAAACUGCAAAACCCGGCCAACAAGCAGCCCUUGCUCGCGAACCCGACGUUUAUGCAGAUGGAGAAGCAGCAGGUUCACCACAUUCCUAGCCUCAAGAGCUCGCAGCCAUAUCCGUUUUGCAUCCCGGGUCCAAGUUCCAAUGUUGCACAUGACCUGAAACCGGUGCAGGAGGUGGUCUUCCCGGAUUUGCCCACGGCAGUCCUGAUGCGGGACUACGCUGCAACCACACCAAAAGUCUUUCCACACUUGUGUUCUCUUUGUAACAAAGAGUGUGUCCAUUUGAAGGACUGGCUUACUCACCAGAACACCAACUUUCACCUUGAGAACUGCAAAGUCCUCCGACAGCAAUAUCCACAAUGGAAUGGGAUGGUGGUGAAUUCUUCCAAGGAUAAACCAAACAAUGAGACGCCCCCAUCAAAGGUCCAAAAUAAGAAACCUCAUUAUGGAUCUCGCUUGUCUUCCCGCGACGUCACGCCGCGACGCCGUCGCAGCCGCAGCUCAGAAACUCGAAGAGAGAAGAGGCCAAGGAGAAGGAACCGAUCUCGCUCUCCUAAGAGCUCCAGAUACCAACGCAGGUCUCGUUCUAACUCCUCAAGAUCCAGGUCUCGUUCGUAUUCCUCGAAUUCAUCCAAGUAUCGUCGUUCGCGCUCGAGAAGCUAUGAGAGGCGCCGCUUGCGGCUAAGCCCGGCAGGGCACUCGUCUUCAAGAAGGAGCAAUGAAAACCAGUCCUUUGCGCAGAGGAGGUCCUCAUCACCGAGGCGCCACGAAAACUGGUCCCUCCCACAGAGGAGAUCCUCGUCACCGAACCGCCAUGAAAACUGGUCCUUCACACAGAGGAGGUCCUCGUCACCGAGCCACCACAAAAACUGGUCCUUCACACAGAGGAGGUCCUCAUCACCGAGCUGCCUUGAAAAUCGCUGGUCACCCAAGAGAAGCUGCGAGAGAUGGUCACCUGCAAAGAGGAGCCAUGACGCGGUCGCUACGCCGCAGACCAGCCAAGAGUUGUCGACCAAAGAAGACAGAUUUGCAGAAAAACCUACGAGAACAUCAGUUGUCCAGUCUAUGCCAAAGCAGAUUGGUUGGGAGGCUAUGUUCAAAACUCUGGCCCCUGCCUUGCUGGCAGAACUAGCCAAGAUUAAUUCAACAUCUUCCAAAGAAAGACCUGCUGAAACAUCCACAGCCGCCUUCUCUUCCUCUAUAGCCAACAAAAAGCCAGUGGUUGGCAAAACGUCUAACCAGCAGAAAUUGGCCUCAGCAAAAACCAAGUCAGUCAAAACCUCAGGCCCAACCAUUGUGACACUGAAAGGAGUCCUCAGUUCUAUCACUUAUGAAGACAUAGUGACUGCUGUUGAGGUGUACGGAAAAAUCAAAUCCAUCGUCCUGUUUCCGCAAAAAUCACAGGCAAUUGUGUGUUUUGAGAGAAAGGCAGACGCAGACAAAAUGCGGAAGGAAUGCAACAUCAAAAUUAAAGGUUUCCUUGUCUCUGUUCGUGAACAAAAAGAGUGUGUCCCCAGUGUACACAAGCACAAUCCUCGGAGGUACGACGUACCUCUGAACAAUUCUGAUAUGACACUCACCAUUGGGGAGAGGAUGUGUGAAUUUCUGCUUCCGGACCAAAUUGCGGUACUCGGACAAGAACUCACCAGCCUACAUACAGAAAAAUUUUCAGAAAGUCCUAGGCAGCUGGUCAUCUCCAACCUGCCCGUUGAUCAGCACAGCUAUUGCGUGCAAGACAUUAUCCAGUUAUUCGAGCCGUUUGGCUUUGAUUCUUCGGCUGACAAGAUCUACGUUCUUCCUCAAUCAAGGAUGGCAUUUAUUGAGCUGAUGGAAAUAGAGGGAGUGGUUGCUGCUAUGAAUGCCUGUAAAACUAACACACCAACUCUCAAAGACCAGAAGUUGGGAGUGCGUGUCCUGAAAGGCAACAUCCCCAUGUUGACGAGACUCUUCUAUCCGUGGGUGAUGAAUUGGGCGAAUUUUCCAGUGGAGAAGGGGUGCCCCAGAACUAUCUCCAUUAAAGGCAUCACACUGAGUGAGACGGCGAGUCUCCGUGAAGCUUUGCGGAAGAUUGGCGGUGUCAAAAAUUUUCUGCCGCUCCACAACAAGGUCUUUGUAGAAUUUGAGUCGAUCUAUGCCACUGACUUCUUAGGAGUUUGGUACAACCUUCACAAACAAUGUCCUGCCUAUCAAAUAUACAGGCUUCACGACCCUCGAACCUAUUCAUUCAAACGACAAAUGUUUCCUAAAGAAGCCAUGCCUGAUUCCGCAUUUGCCAGGGCAACUGUUGAGAACUGUAUAUUUGGCAUUCCUGGAUGUACCUGGGGCCCAUUUUACCUGACAAUGAAUACAAAACCCUAUCUGUUCUUAACCGUUUCCCCAUGGUUCAUAAUCCCGGAGUUCCUGACCAUCAAAAACGAAGACGACAUCCAAGAGGCCAGGCGGCUUGAUGCAUCACCAACAAUCAUGCUGACCAAAUUGCCUGUAAAGUCUUUCAAACAUGAAGAUGUAGCCAAGUUUGCUUGGCCAUAUUUUUCUCAGAGGGACCUCCGGUCUCUGUACUACAAUGUCGUAGUACUGCCGCUUCAGAGGAGGGCCUUUGUUUAUUUUAGUGAUUGGGAUGCUUGCUGCCGCUUCGUCCGAUGCCACUUGCAAGUUCGUGCCUUUAAGGUGAAAGGCUGCCAGCUUGCGCUGCACUUUGUCCUCCAGCCCAUGUGUGCCCAAAGCACUGAGGAGAACAUGUACAAGUCAUUGAUGCAGCUAAGCAACUCUCGCAUUGGUGAGGUGGAGACUCUGGCUGAGCGCCUACUUUGUGUAAGCAUCGAUUCAUACCAAAAAGGACAUAUUAGAGAUCUUCUACAUUUGAUCUCCAGCCAUGGCAACGUCGUCAACUUCCUCCCAUUGGCCAACCGGAUAUGCAUCGAGAUGGCUGACUCCGUGGGAGUUGCGCGCGUGCUGGAGGAAUCCAAACAUUUUCCCACCAUUUUCCCAGUUGACCAGCCACGUUCCAGUGAAGCAAGUUCUUGGAAGGUGAUGUUUGAGAGCAUUGAUAGCCUGAAGUUGCGCCUUCAGGAUCCAACUGUGUUUGCAUUGAAUCACAAUGGGAACCGUGAGUACUGGAGCAUGGAGGCCAGCUCAACCGCUGCACCUACUGCAGCGCCAUCAAUUGACUCUGAACAACCCAAAAAGAAGCACAUGUCAGAAUCACAGGAGGUAGUGAUGGUGACUGUAAAGGACUGUAAGAAAACAAAAUGUUGUCCAUCUCUGCAUGAUUCUGAUGCGGCGCUCACCGUAUGGAAAAGGAUGUGGAAAUUUCUGCGUCCACAAAGGAUUGCGGAACUCAGACACACCGACCUCCAUAACGAAAUGUGGGCGGGAAAGCAGAGGCAGCUGUUAAUCUCCAAACUUCCCGUUGAUCAGCACAGCUACUGCGUGGAAGACAUUAUAGAGUUAGUCAAGUGGUUUGACUUUGAUUCCUCAGUUGAUAUGAUCUACGUUCUUCCUGAAUCAAGGAUGGCACUUGUUGAGGUGACGAGACAUAAGGGAGUGUUUGCUGCCUUUAAUCCCUGCAAACCCGAAAUGGUCCCUCUCAAAGAUCAGGGGUUGGAAGUGCGUGUACUAAAAGAAAAAGUCCCAAUGUGGCCGGCACACUUCUAUCAAUGGGUGAUGAAGUGGAUGAAAUUUCCUGUGAAGAAGAAACGUUCCAAAAUCAUCUUAAUCCGAGACAUCACAGUGAGAGAGACGGCCAGUCUCCGUGAAGCUUUGCGAAAGAUUGGCGGUGUCAAACAUUUUCUGCCGCUCCUCGACAAGGUCUUUGUUGAAUUUGAAUCUGACACAUCUGCUGAUCACAUAGGAGUUUGGUACAACCUUCACGAUCAAUGUCCUGCCUAUAGCAUACACAGGCUGGGCAUCCCUGAAGGUGUUUUAGUCGCACCACAAAGGUUUCCGAAUAAGGCCGUGCCUGAUUUGGCAUUUGCUGGGGCAACUGUUGAAACCUGUACAUUUGGCAUUCCUGAACUCACCUCAUCCCCAUUUUACCUGACAAUGAGGGCAAAACCCUUUCUUUUCUCCACUGUUAACCCGUGGUUCAUAAUCCCCGAGUUCCUGACUGUCGAAAAGGAAAGCGACAUCAACGAGGCCAGGCAGCUGGGUGCGUCGCCAACAAUCAUGUUGACAAAUUUGCCUGAAGAUUACUUCAAACACGAAGAUGUAGCCAAACUUGCAUGGCCAUAUUUUUCUCAGAAGGACCUUCGGUCUCUGUACUACAAUGUGAUUGUGCUGCCGCUCCAGAGGAGGGCCUUUGUGCAUUUUAGUGAUUGGGAUGCGUGCUGCCGCUUUGUCCAAUGCCACUUGGGUGUUCGUACAUUUAGGUUGAACGGCCGCCGGCUUGGGUUGCACUUUGUCCUGCGGCCAAUGCAUGCUCAAAACACCGAGGAGAACAUGUACAGGUCGCUGAUGCAGCUAAGCAGCUCUCGCAUUGGUGAGGUAGAGUCACUGGCCCAGCGUCUACUUUGUGUAGAGAUCACCUUGUCCCACCAAGGCAACAUUGGACUUCUUCUACAUUUGAUCUCCAGACAUGCUGAGGUUUUCAACUUCCUCCCAUUGGCCAACCGGAUAUGCAUCGAGAUGGCAGACUCGGUGGGAGUUGCGCGUGUGCUGCAGGAAUGCAAACAUUUUUCAGUCAGUUCAAGUUUCAGCAGCACCUGGAAAGCAAUUCAAAGGUUUGAGAACAUUGAAAGCCUGAACCAGCGCCUUCAGGAUUCAACUGAUAUUACCCUGGAUCUCGGCGAGGAUGGUAAGGACAGAAGUAGUGAGGCCAACCCACCUGCUGCAGGUGAACCGACAGUGGACCCUGGGACUACCGCCGCUCCCUCUGUUAACUCAGAACAACCUACAGCGGGGCUCAUGUCAGAGUGUGUAGAAAUGGCGACUGAAGAGGACUGUCAGAAAGCAGAAUGUUCAAUUGAUGGGGAGUCCACUGCCAUUCCUGAGUUUCAGGACGAUAAAGAGAAUGUUUCAGUAAAGGUGGAAGAUGGGCCACUGUCAGCUUCACCCUGUGUUGACAACGAGACACUACUGCCUACAGUUGGCAGUAACGAUGAGACAGCUGUACAGAGAGAAGAGGCUCUCCCUGUUCAAGACACGUUGGUCCUCGGUAAAGAUGAAACCCUUGUGAAACGUGUGGACGCAAUGGUGGAAAACAACAAUGUCACUCUCUGUGACCAGCAACCCUUUGACAUUGAUGACUUUAUCACAAUCAGUGAAGUUGGUAACCAGGAGGACAGCAGUGAAGCCCCCUCUCAUUCCAAGAGACAUUCUUUCCCUCCUGAGUCUAAACAGAACAAAACAAGAGCCUCAAAAGAGUCUAAGAACUCCAAAUCAUCCUCUUCAGCUUCCUCAAGGGCCACCAGCCUCUCAUCAGGGACUGUUUCUUCACCUGUUAGAGAUUCCACCAGAGCCCAAAGUAAAGCUAAAAAAUCAAAGGAUUCAUCCCAGGGAUCUCUAACACAGGAGACUCCCACUACUUGCGAAGAAAAGCAUUUGCUGAUCAUGUUGGGUGAUGACCAGAAACCUCUUUCAGACGAGAAACUUGAUGUAUCGGAGGAUGGCCGCUCUGAGCUUCAAGAGGUUUCUCAGCAGGGAAACAUUAGUCACGUUGACAAUGCUGAAAAAGAGCAGAUUGCACCAGUUGACACACCAAACCUUGAAGAGCAGAACAAGAGCCAAAGAGGAAAGGAGAUAACUGACAUGAAAGAAGAUGUAGACAGAGAGCAGAUUGCAGAAUCCCACUCUGCGAUCGAGGAUGUGGUUGAGAAUCAACUCUCAGCUGACCAUAAUAGUAAAUUCAGAGAGGCCAAAGAAGACACUGCUUUCUCGGAACAUAAAGACAAAAAGGAGGAAACGGAAGCAUACCAGGGGAUUGAUUCUGUGGAGGAUCAGCCAGCUUCCACAGACAAUGAGAAGACUGUCUCAGAACCACCUAAGAUUCAAGAGUGUAAAGAGUCUCCAAAGAAGCAGGAGCACAUCACUGCCAAAACUCCUGAGCCUGAGAAGUACCUCCUGGUUGAUUCUGUACAAGCUAACGAUUCUAGUAACACUCCUGUGUGUAGUAGGAGGCGGAGUACCCGGGGAAGGACACAAGAGCAAACUGCCAUAACAUUUGUCCCAGACUCUCUGGAAGAGGAUGCAUGCAUCGCCACGAGGGCUACCAGAAAAAGAGGAAGGCCGCCUAAGAAAGGCAAAGCUCGUGAAGAAGAAAAAACUGUUUUAAGGACGACAUCUGCUUGGAGCAGAUCACCUGAAACUGUAAAGAAAAAAGCACCAAUCAAGGUGGUUGUCGCAGAGGAACCCACCAAUGAGAUCUUGGACCGCAUUAAAGAUCCAGCACCAAAAAGAAAAGGAAGAAAGGGAAAACCUACGAAAGAUGUGAAAAGGAUGAAAAUUGAAAAGAAAAAAAAAAAGGACAUAGCUGAUGAUGAAGCAGCAGUAACAUUUGAGGUAUUGGACUCUUUGAAAGACAAGACAUUUACUAGGAAGACACAGAGUAGUCCAUGAUGAAUGAAUGAAUGCUUUAUUUUGGACAUGAGAAAAUAAAAAACAUACAAAAUCAGACAAACCAAUUAUAAUACUUGAGAUAACAGCAACAAUAUUCAAGACAAUAAUAAUAAUAAUAUUAGAAUGUAUUCAUUGUGUCCAAAAAGGAGUAGGAUGAAGCAUUUGCUUAUUAAAACCUAUAUAUAUAUAUAACAACCCUGCAGUGUUGUCAGCCAUUCUCAUGAUAUCUAAUGUACAACUACAUCAAGCACUCAAAAACUAUUAAGUCUUUUUGUGUCAAAUAUGCUUUGCAAUGGAAAACUGCUGCUUUUAAUAACGAGCAAAGCAGUUUCCCUCAAACUCACAAACCAAUCCAUCAACAACAAACUCUGAUUAGUCAGUCUCACUCUUUAACGAUGACCCUUAAAUUCAUAUGCACAGAACAUUUCCCUGCUACACGUUGUAUUUGAUCAAAUUUUAAUCUACCAAAAUUAAAUAUUUUUGAUCUAAUUAAAGAACGAAUUAAUAGUAGCAUGUUACCGCCCUCAAAUUGUAGAUCACUAAAAACAAAUCCAAUAAUCAAUAGUCACUUGCCGUUUUUGAAUUUUAUUUUACUAACACAAUUUUCAAACAGAUUUUGGAAAGAAAAAAAAACAGAAAAGUGUGACGAUUGCAGAAGUGCAUAAAUGUAAAAAAUUAUUGUUUUUCAGAAAGCCACAAUCAAAUAACCCUUUCUGGAUUCUUCACGGAAUGAAAGUAAAUAAAAUAAAAAUAAUAAUAUAAUAUAAUAGUAAUAAUAAUAAUUAAUAAUAAAACACUAUUAAUUAAAUAGAUAAUAACCAAAUAACCCUCUCUGAAUUCUUCAAGGAAAAGGCCAGGAAAUAAAUAACACGAUUGAGGAAAAAAAACAAAAAUCAAAAUGGCCGGACCAAAUGUGGAGGCGGGCCGUAUUUGGGCCGCGGGCCGCAGUUUGGGGACGCGCUUACACCCGAAGAAGAAAUGCCGCAUCCAAGCGAGUGAGCGUGUUGGUGAGAGAGGGAAACACUUCUACGAGCCUACGUUCUUUGUUAAUGUUAAUAUCUACAGAAGCAACGCCUGUAUGUAUCAUCUUUUGUGUUGUUGUUGUUGUGUUUCCACUCGCGAUCGGACACUUAAAUCCAGUUGUGUAGUGGUUUGAACGAUGUGCUAAUGCUAGCGAACGAAUGCUAACCAUACUGUUAUUAGCAGCUAAUCAUCGCUGAUUUACGUUGAUGCAAACCUGUUUGUUAUUGGGGACGAAAGCGAUUUGUUUCAUUUCUAUUCUUAGUUUCACUCUUCAAAUGAUGGUUGAAUAAAGUCAGCAAAUUAUACCAACGUCUUCUGCAUCGUCAUUUGGGAGUUUAGCUAGCUGUAUAGCCAGGACUGAGCCUUAGCCUCUCUGUGAGGACAGCGCAGUUAUUUUUGCUCAAUUUCCAUUAUUGCUCGCUCAGAAUAGUGUCAGCAAUAUAACCCCAUAUUUCUCUAGCUGUAGUGGAGGAAAUCUCAUAUAAAUUUUGUCUAGUUUUAGUGGACAGGUACUCCAUGUUUUCGUCUGAAGAAUUCAAAAAUGUUGGUCCAAAAAUAAAGGUUUUCAACAAUUUUGAAUAAACAUUCUGUAGGUGAGCAAGCACAUAUUGUAGCAUCUAGAAGGAAAAUGCAAACUUAGUGAUAAUAAUUCACUCUGCAGGAAAAGAACAUUAUUUUCAAUGAAACCCACUUUGAAUUGUACAUUAAAAAAAAAAGUGGUCUUUAUUUAUUUAAGAGGGUGCUCGCUACGCUAAAAUUGAUUCUAAUGCUAACCUGAAUGCUAUGCUAACAUGACGAGUUGCAUUUACUGUGUGAUGAUCGCUCAGCAUAGACCUUUAAAGGUUAAAACAGCAUUGUAUAUACUCUCUUGCCAAGAUAAGAAAAGCGAGAUGGCGCGCAGCCGAGCUUGAAAACGCAUCCAAAACUCCAGUGAGGAGAGUAAGGAAGAGGCUCUGCGCUUCUCACAUGAGUGACGCAACCCAAACACUGCUACGAUGCAAGCUGACGUACUCCACGGACAAUAUGAAAAUAUCCCGCUGGCUCAAGCAUUGUCAACAUAUGACAGAAACUAUGUGGCAUUUUCGUCUUGUUGUCUCCGCGUCAGACAAAAACUGCCAUCCGUCUCGUUAUGUUGUAGUCUCCCAAGCCACGUUUUCAGCUCAUCAUCGCCAUUAAAAAAAUUGUUCGUUGACCAAAUAUUUUCGUUAUGGUCUUUGUUAACAAAAACAACACUGCUGUAGAUCUACAUAUUCUUUUGAGGAUUGGUACUUUGGGUGCCUUACACAUGCUUUGUCCAAUCCUUGUAUGAUGUGCAUCCACAUUAUUGUCAAAAGUUUUCAUUGCCCUCAUUUUUUUUUUUUUUUUUAAAUGUCAUUGUAUCAUACUUUCCUGCCUUUUGUCUUGAGCCAUGUUUUUGUUGUAAAGCACUUUGAGAGCCUUUUGGGUAUGUGGCUAAUGCUGGACACGUCGUCGAGGCUUCGGUUUAGUUAAGUGACUGAAAUCGAGGAAAAACAAGCCACAAACAAAGAAAAAUAUGUUCCACCCAGGGGUCGCGUUAACCGAAUAUUUUCCGUCGUUGACCGUUUUUUUACAACGGUGACGGAAAAAACUGAAGUCCAUCUGUCAUCUUGACAGGUUGCAUUUCACACCCCAGACCACAGGGUGGCGAGUGAGCAUAUUAGUUAGCUAUUGUCUCUCUUGAUGCAUACGUCGUUGGCCUUACUCGGAAAAAUGUCAAGGCAACUGAGUGCCCGACGUUUCUUCAAAAAGCCCCAAAACGACGAUGGUGUUGAUAAAAGAGGUGAAAAAAGAGGGACUGAUGCAGUGAAGGAUGACAACGAAUCAAGUGAAUCGCCGGUUCACUCCUCACUGCGGCGAGCAGUUGAAAACUCCCCCAAUUACCAAGAAGGGCAGAAUUGGUAACACGGUGAAAGCGGUUCGGUUUGAACCUUGGUUUUGGAAUCACGGUUCGGUUUCGGUUUGCUUUUUGCAUUUUUUUUUUUAAACUGUCUUUAUUUUGCUUUUAAGAAAAUGAAAUAAACACUUAAAAUGUAAACAUGUUUGACUGUUAAAAUGCCUCUUAGCUCUUUGGCUAGUUUAGUGACUGACUAAUGAAAUACACACACAGUAGUAAAAAAAGUUACCGUACUUGGCAAAGUAACUAGUGUUACCUUUCAUGUUUUUUUUUUCUUUUUUUUUCAAAAGAAAAAAACAAAAAACAGAGUAACCUUUGCUUUGUUUGGAGGCCAUUUAUAGUUCUGAAUCAACCUUUAAAGUUGAUAAAAUUGUUCCGUUUUUGCAUUAAUUCCUUUCUGUCUACUUUUGACAUGUGAAAAUUUUAAAACUGUUUCAUCAUUUAAAGAUAGACUCAAGUCAAGAUUUUGCCGUUUUAGGAGUAUUUUAAAUAAAAAGUUACUUAGGUUCACUAGGAAGGUUCACUACAACAGAGCCUUUUCUGAGAAGUUUACUGCUCUAAAAUGGCGGCUGUUUACUAACGCUACCUAGCCUGUAAUUUCGCAUGUAGUUCUAUAUGCAUGAGAUAUCUAGGCGUAGGUUGUAGGCUGUCGGCUACAGUCAGGAAAUGUGGGAGCCACCUAGCCUAACAUUGUAUUUGCUAUAACUACACAACAAACACUCUUCCCACUCCGUGCCUCUGACUUUUCUCACGUCAUUCAACCAACGUAUUGACGAACAGAGGAAAAAAAAACACGUAAUGCACGAAAAACGAACAGAAUUUGAACGUAACGUACGGCGUACACAUUUAAAAAUGAGUGCUCACCUGUACAAAUUACGCCGAGACCUUACAACUUGAAAGGUAUGAAUUAUAGUGGACCGUCACAGUUAGGUAGUAGCACUCUGUAGCACGGGAUGUCCAACUAUCAGUGGUCACGGCGAAACUAUGUGCUUUAGCAAAGUCAUCUUCGAUGGCUUUGCGUGCUUUUUCAUAAAUGUCGGGGAAUACGUUGUUGGUGAAAUAUGUCUGCGAGGGAACAAUGUAACGCGGGUCAAGCGUUGCAAAUAACUUCACGAAGCCCGCCGUGUGUUUUCACUGGUGUCAUCUCCGGGGUUGUCUUGCUCUGAGAAAGUGAUAUCUGUGGGUGAUGCCGGCUGAGGUGCCGUAGUCAUGUUAUAAGUGUUUCCAUUAGCAUAGGGAACAAGCGCUGAGCAAUGCUUGCAAAUUGUUUUUUUUUUCUUCAAUAUUUUCUCUCCCUCCUAUUUUCUCUCCCACCGCAUUGUAGUCCACGGGGAAACCGAAAUGUUGCCACACCGCAGAUUUGAAAGAAGCCAGUGCUUCCUCAAAAUUCGGUCUCUCCACUCCUCCGCACGCCAUAGCUUUUUGUUUUCUUUCUUGUUUCACUUUCACUUCGCUCGUAAGCGAGAGAGGGCGUUACUCGGCUUCUAUUACACAGGUGCUUGACAGCGAUCGGAGAUUCACUUGCGGCGGGGCGGGAAUUUCUCCGCAGCUGUGCUUCACGUCGCACACAGAGCUUGACCAAUUCAUUCCACAAGCGUUCGGAAAAAAUUAAUUGCAAAACCGAAAAGGCGUGGUUCAUAAAGGCGUAUUGAACCGUACAGGGCGAACCGUACAGUUCGGCUUUGAACCGCAAACUGUUGCACUCCUGGUCAGCCCCGCCUUCUGGCGGUCAGUAGGGAUGAAAUGAACGAUUGUAUUAUUUUCAGUUUAUGAAACAGUCAUUCACAUUUAACGGUCUAUUUAUUCAUGAUUAAACAUCUAAAUUACAUGUUGGUCAACACAAAACACUGUAGAAGUACAACUUAGGCAAUUCUUUACAAUAAGGGUCUCUUAAUUCAAAUUAGCUAAUUCAUUUAUAGAGAGGAAUGUUUAAGUAACAUCAUAAUAAUUAUGAGCCCUUAUAAUCCCUUAUCUAACAUAGGUAAUAUUGUAGCGGAUGACAUACCAGUAAACCCGAGGCCGUUGGCAAUCUUCCAAAUAGUGACGUAUGCCCUUACAAAACUGAUCUUACAACGUUUUAUAUAGCGUGCAAUAUGAAACAAAAAUGAAACUAUUUUUAAAAUAAUAGGAAUUUUUUGGUAAUAUUGUCAAAUGGGAAAGAAAUCCCAAAAACUAUAUUUAUGCAUUUUUCAUACACUUUUAUAUGCUUGAGUAAAAUUACAGUGCACAACAAUAUUUUGGAGAAUGAAAUUAAAAAGGUCAAUUCAUAAAAUUAACUUACCCAUGCAAUCUUUGAGUCAGUGAACAUUUCUUUGCUACUGCAAUACUAUGGUCCUUUUGUUAGGAACUGAAAUUAUACAACAUAAAAUAUAGAAUAUAAAUAAAUACUACAUAGCAUUUGUAAAACAUAAAUACAUAAUAAAAUAAAUAAUAGCCCGUAUAAAUAAAAUGCACUGAAAUUAGUUAAAGGGGAUGUAGCGCCCUGGGAAAAUUUUGAUAUUCCAUCAUUUAUCCAUAAACGCAUGCCUUUUGUAUUCAUAUCAUGCCACUUCGUGUAAUUACACACAAGAAAAUGAGAGAAAUUUGGCUCGAUUGUCAAGCUAAAACGACCGGCGCCCGAGAUCUGGCAGAUUGUGUGCGUGACGUCACGACAAGUGAAGAGAGUGCCACCGGCCACUAGGGGGGCAGGGCCUGUCUGCAUCAAUAGAAUUCCUUCUAGUGUGGGGAGAAUUAGGGGUGUUUUGAGCUGUUUAUGCUGAUGCAUUGUGUUCGUCCUGCACAUAUUCCAGGUUCCCUCAUGAAGAAACACCGCUCGUUGUCAAUAAAAGAGAAUUCAGAAUUGACAGUGAGGGCUGUUUCUUCAACAAGAAAAAGGCUCAGUGCUUUAAUACUGAAUGGCGGCGAUGAUGGCAGACAAUUUCGUUUCUAGUUUCAGCAAUGAAUACGACGUAGAAGGACGUAACGAAUGUUCAUCUAAUGGUGACGAGGAGAGUUACAAAGCUUUAAUCGGUGUUUUAGGUUCCCAAUUUGAGCCCAAACGAACGCCAAUGCAGCGUAAUUAAACGGUCAUUGAGGGGAGCAAUGACACUGAUGAAACAUCGGCAGCAGAUCGUGUGGGAAACACCAAUGAUUUGUUUUGCAUUUCUUUUUGUGAAGCUGAUACACCGUGACUGCAAAAUAAAGGAAUGCAUAGAAUAAUUAUCAUUUAUUGCGCUAUCAUAGCUUUUCGCUCUGUCAACAGACACAAAUAUGAACGGGAUCAGAGGAUUUGUUCUAUAUAUUUUACGAACGAUAAUUUAUACAUGUGUCGAGUCCUGUAUCCAAUGCGUGACAUUUUUUUUUUAUUAUUAUUAUAAAAGAGUACUCACUCUGGCCAUUUCGAGCUUGCCUGCUCCCUCCUGUGCUUAGCUUUAGCCUCCUUUAGCAGUCAUCGUCUCUCUCUUGAUAUCUCGGGACAUUUAGGUGGCUGUGCCUGUAUGUCGGCACCGCAUCUCCUUUGAGCAGCAAUCUUUUAGCAAAACCCGAUUUCUCUUGUCCAUAGUUCGAGAAGCUUUCAGUUGGAAAAUGCGCACCACAGAAAAGCGUGCCGGAGGCGGUGUCUAGAAAAUUAGCCCUCUUUGCACGGACGAACUUUACCCAUUUUCUGUGUAGUCCAGCUUUUUUUUUCGCGUUCAGGAACUCAUGCAUACUAUAUUCCGAUAAAUAACUAUUUGUACACCACAUAGCACAGCAGUUUUGAACCAUUGUUGUGAUGUUUUGGUCAAACAAACCCCAACGCUACUCUCUCGUCGUUAAAAAACAAUGGCACCUAGCUCCGCCUCGACUUUCAAUCACUUGUCGUGACGUCGCCGCCCCAUUCGGCUGUUUCCGGAACACUUUCGGUAAUGUUCGUCAUUUUCGAUCUAUUUUCGAUAAUUGCUCAUUAAUGUGAUUGAUUUUUUUGUUAACUUUAUCAAUAUUUGUUAUCUUGGCGCAUAAUGGUUCUAUUGAUGUCUCACACCCCCUUUGCCGCAACAUCCCCUUUAAAACACUGUAAUUAAAUAAUAAGAAAUUAAAUUUAUUAAUUUCUGCGUUGCGCUAAAACUUGAGAAAAACCAUUAAUAAAGCUUUAGAAAAUGUUCAUAAGAAAAAAAAUGAUGCAUCGAGGCAUUUCAUUUGUAGAAAAAAAAACUUUAAAACUUUGUCAUUGGAAUUGCUUUACUCUUUAGCAUAGGACUUCUUGGUUCUGCUUUCUUUCAGAAAGAAAGCUGACCAAUAGUGGGGUCUGAAAGGCAAAUCAAAUGGUUGUUGUAUGAUUAUCUUUAAUACACGCUACUCUCGUAUGGAGGUAGAUUUGUGUCUUUAUUAUUCAAUCCAAAAAAAAGUUGCUUCAAUCAAAAUAUAUAUUUUAAUUUGAAGAAAAAGUCACUUCAAUCAAAAAAAAAUGUGUUUGAAUGCAAAAAUUAAUUUGAAACUCAAAAAAAUAUAUUUGAAAACUAUUUUUCUUUGAUUA